rnacentral:tRNA from 1 species
GGAGUUGUGGCUCAGUGGUGAGCACUUACCUAGCAUGUAUGAGGCCCUGGGUUCUACCCUCAGCACCA